UUAAGCGACUAAGCGUACACGGUGGAUGCCCUGGCAGUCAGAGGCGAUGAAGGACGUGCUAAUCUGCGAUAAGCGUCGGUAAGGUGAUAUGAACCGUUAUAACCGGCGAUUUCCGAAUGGGGAAACCCAGUGUGAUUCGUCACACUAUCAUUAACUGAAUCCAUAGGUUAAUGAGGCGAACCGGGGGAACUGAAACAUCUAAGUACCCCGAGGAAAAGAAAUCAACCGAGAUUCCCCCAGUAGCGGCGAGCGAACGGGGAGGAGCCCAGAGCCUGAAUCAGUGUGUGUGUUAGUGGAAGCGUCUGGAAAGGCGCGCGAUACAGGGUGACAGCCCCGUACACAAAAAUGCACAUAUUGUGAGCUCGAUGAGUAGGGCGGGACACGUGGUAUCCUGUCUGAAUAUGGGGGGACCAUCCUCCAAGGCUAAAUACUCCUGACUGACCGAUAGUGAACCAGUACCGUGAGGGAAAGGCGAAAAGAACCCCGGCGAGGGGAGUGAAAAAGAACCUGAAACCGUGUACGUACAAGCAGUGGGAGCACGCUUAGGCGUGUGACUGCGUACCUUUUGUAUAAUGGGUCAGCGACUUAUAUUCUGUAGCAAGGUUAACCGAAUAGGGGAGCCGAAGGGAAACCGAGUCUUAACUGGGCGUUAAGUUGCAGGGUAUAGACCCGAAACCCGGUGAUCUAGCCAUGGGCAGGUUGAAGGUUGGGUAACACUAACUGGAGGACCGAACCGACUAAUGUUGAAAAAUUAGCGGAUGACUUGUGGCUGGGGGUGAAAGGCCAAUCAAACCGGGAGAUAGCUGGUUCUCCCCGAAAGCUAUUUAGGUAGCGCCUCGUGAAUUCAUCUCCGGGGGUAGAGCACUGUUUCGGCAAGGGGGUCAUCCCGACUUACCAACCCGAUGCAAACUGCGAAUACCGGAGAAUGUUAUCACGGGAGACACACGGCGGGUGCUAACGUCCGUCGUGAAGAGGGAAACAACCCAGACCGCCAGCUAAGGUCCCAAAGUCAUGGUUAAGUGGGAAACGAUGUGGGAAGGCCCAGACAGCCAGGAUGUUGGCUUAGAAGCAGCCAUCAUUUAAAGAAAGCGUAAUAGCUCACUGGUCGAGUCGGCCUGCGCGGAAGAUGUAACGGGGCUAAACCAUGCACCGAAGCUGCGGCAGCGACGCUGAUGCGUUGUUGGGUAGGGGAGCGUUCUGUAAGCCUGCGAAGGUGUGCUGUGAGGCAUGCUGGAGGUAUCAGAAGUGCGAAUGCUGACAUAAGUAACGAUAAAGCGGGUGAAAAGCCCGCUCGCCGGAAGACCAAGGGUUCCUGUCCAACGUUAAUCGGGGCAGGGUGAGUCGACCCCUAAGGCGAGGCCGAAAGGCGUAGUCGAUGGGAAACAGGUUAAUAUUCCUGUACUUGGUGUUACUGCGAAGGGGGGACGGAGAAGGCUAUGUUGGCCGGGCGACGGUUGUCCCGGUUUAAGCGUGUAGGCUGGUUUUCCAGGCAAAUCCGGAAAAUCAAGGCUGAGGCGUGAUGACGAGGCACUACGGUGCUGAAGCAACAAAUGCCCUGCUUCCAGGAAAAGCCUCUAAGCAUCAGGUAACAUCAAAUCGUACCCCAAACCGACACAGGUGGUCAGGUAGAGAAUACCAAGGCGCUUGAGAGAACUCGGGUGAAGGAACUAGGCAAAAUGGUGCCGUAACUUCGGGAGAAGGCACGCUGAUAUGUAGGUGAAGUCCCUCGCGGAUGGAGCUGAAAUCAGUCGAAGAUACCAGCUGGCUGCAACUGUUUAUUAAAAACACAGCACUGUGCAAACACGAAAGUGGACGUAUACGGUGUGACGCCUGCCCGGUGCCGGAAGGUUAAUUGAUGGGGUUAGCCGCAAGGCGAAGCUCUUGAUCGAAGCCCCGGUAAACGGCGGCCGUAACUAUAACGGUCCUAAGGUAGCGAAAUUCCUUGUCGGGUAAGUUCCGACCUGCACGAAUGGCGUAAUGAUGGCCAGGCUGUCUCCACCCGAGACUCAGUGAAAUUGAACUCGCUGUGAAGAUGCAGUGUACCCGCGGCAAGACGGAAAGACCCCGUGAACCUUUACUAUAGCUUGACACUGAACAUUGAGCCUUGAUGUGUAGGAUAGGUGGGAGGCUUUGAAGUGUGGACGCCAGUCUGCAUGGAGCCGACCUUGAAAUACCACCCUUUAAUGUUUGAUGUUCUAACGUUGACCCGUGAUCCGGGUUGCGGACAGUGUCUGGUGGGUAGUUUGACUGGGGCGGUCUCCUCCUAAAGAGUAACGGAGGAGCACGAAGGUUGGCUAAUCCUGGUCGGACAUCAGGAGGUUAGUGCAAUGGCAUAAGCCAGCUUGACUGCGAGCGUGACGGCGCGAGCAGGUGCGAAAGCAGGUCAUAGUGAUCCGGUGGUUCUGAAUGGAAGGGCCAUCGCUCAACGGAUAAAAGGUACUCCGGGGAUAACAGGCUGAUACCGCCCAAGAGUUCAUAUCGACGGCGGUGUUUGGCACCUCGAUGUCGGCUCAUCACAUCCUGGGGCUGAAGUAGGUCCCAAGGGUAUGGCUGUUCGCCAUUUAAAGUGGUACGCGAGCUGGGUUUAGAACGUCGUGAGACAGUUCGGUCCCUAUCUGCCGUGGGCGCUGGAGAACUGAGGGGGGCUGCUCCUAGUACGAGAGGACCGGAGUGGACGCAUCACUGGUGUUCGGGUUGUCAUGCCAAUGGCACUGCCCGGUAGCUAAAUGCGGAAGAGAUAAGUGCUGAAAGCAUCUAAGCACGAAACUUGCCCCGAGAUGAGUUCUCCCUGACUCCUUGAGAGUCCUGAAGGAACGUUGAAGACGACGACGUUGAUAGGCCGGGUGUGUAAGCGCAGCGAUGCGUUGAGCUAACCGGUACUAAUGAACCGUGAGGCUUAACCUU
rnacentral:rRNA from 1 species